rnacentral:rRNA from 1 species
CUCAAAGGAAUUGACGGGGCCCGCACAAGCGGUGGAGCAUGUGGUUAAUUCGAUGAUACGCGAGGAACCUUACCUGGGCUCGAACGUAAGAUGACUGUAGGUGAAAGCUUACAUCUCUUCGGACAAUAUACAAGGUGCUGCAUGGUUGUCGUCAGCUCGUGCCGUGAGGUGUCGGGUUAAGUCCCAUAACGAGCGCAACCCCUAUCAUUAAUUGCCAUCAGGUCAAGCUGGGGACUCUAAUGAAACUGCCUACGCAAGUAGUGAGGAAGGUGGGGAUGACGUCAAAUCAGCACGGCCCUUACGUCCAGGGCUACACACGUGUUACAAUGGCCGGUACAAAGGGCAGCUACCUGGUGACAGGAUGCUAAUCUCAAAAGCCGGUCUCAGUUCGGAUCGGAGUCUGCAACCCGACUCCGUGAAGCUGGAAUCGCUAGUAAUCGUGAAUCAGAAUGUCACGGUGAAUACGUUCCCGGGCCUU